UUCUAGCAAUGAAGAUGGAAAAUCGAAAAAUUUAUGCGGGUGGAAUAUAGCGGUGAUUAUACCGUCAGACGUGACAUCUCCCUCCUUAGGAAAGUUCGGUCCCCGAACUUUUAUUAGAUUCUAAAGUGUGCCUGGCAGUGUAAGAGCUGUGUUGCUGCAGUUGGAUUUAUCUAAAUCGAGAGCUGGUUAUCUAUACUGUCACCGUGAUUUCGUUGGACGGAUAUGAUAAGGAUAAAUUAAAAGUGAGAAGAGGUAAUAGUGAGCUGAGACUGAAUUAAUAAGGAUAAAGGAUAAGUAUUUCAAUCUUAUUUUAUAAUCUUAUGAAUAUAUA